GAAAUCUGGUAGCCUUCGGUUGCCCGAGUUGUAAUCUAGAGAAGUGUUUUCCGUGCCGGCCCAUGUACAAGUCCCUUGGAACAGGGCGUCAUAGAGGGUGAGAAUCCCGUCCUUGACAUGGACCCCCGGUGCUUUGUGAUACACUUUCAACGAGUCGAGUUGUUUGGGAAUGCAGCUCAAAAUGGGUGGUGAAUUCCAUCUAAAGCUAAAUAUUGGCGAGAGACCGAUAGCGAACAAGUACCGUGAGGGAAAGAUGAAAAGCACUUUGGAAAGAGAGUUAAACAGUACGUGAAAUUGUUGAAAGGGAAACGAUUGAAGUCAGUCAUGCUCUUAGGAUUCAGCCGUUCUGCGGUGUAUUUCCUUUGAGUGGGGUCAACAUCAGUUUUGAUCGAUGGAUAAAGGCACGAGGAAGGUAGCACUCUCGGGUGAACUUAUAGCCUCGCGUCAUAUACAUUGAUUGGGACUGAGGAACGCAGCAUGCCUUUAUGGCCGGGAUUCGUCCACGUACAUGCUUAGGAUGUUGACAUAAUGGCUUUAAAC
rnacentral:rRNA from 1 species